UGGUUCGAGAGGGCCCGGGCCUUUAAGCUUUGUGGUGGUAAGGCCUUCCAAGGGGGGGGGGGUAGCGGCCUGGAAGGGGUUUGGCCCAACUGGGAAUGGGACACGGCCCAGAUUCUUAGGGAGGCAGCAGGGGGAAAUUUGCCCAAUGGGGCCAAGCUUGAUGCAGGGACGCCGCUGGAGGAAGACGGCCUUCGGGUUGUAAACUUCUUUCACCAGGGAGGAGCGCAAGUGACGGUACCUGGAGAAGAAGCACCGGCCAACUACGUGCCAGCAGCCGCGGUAAUACGUAGGGUGCGAGCGUUGUCCGGAAUUACUGGGCGUAAAGAGCUCGUAGGCGGUUUGUCGCGUCGUCUGUGAAAUUCUGCAACUCAAUUGUAGGCGUGCAGGCGAUACGGGCAGACUUGAGUACUACAGGGGAGACUGGAAUUCCUGGUGUAGCGGUGAAAUGCGCAGAUAUCAGGAGGAACACCGGUGGCGAAGGCGGGUCUCUGGGUAGUAACUGACGCUGAGGAGCGAAAGCGUGGGUAGCGAACAGGAUUAGAUACCCUGGUAGUCCACGCCGUAAACGGUGGGUACUAGGUGUGGGGCUCAUUUCACGAGUUCCGUGCCGUAGCUAACGCAUUAAGUACCCCGCCUGGGGAGUACGGCCGCAAGGCUAAAACUCAAAGGAAUUGACGGGGGCCCGCACAAGCGGCGGAGCAUGUGGAUUAAUUCGAUGCAACGCGAAGAACCUUACCUGGGUUUGACAUACACCAGACGCAUGUAGAGAUACAUGUUCCCUUGUGGUUGGUGUACAGGUGGUGCAUGGCUGUCGUCAGCUCGUGUCGUGAGAUGUUGGGUUAAGUCCCGCAACGAGCGCAACCCUUGUCCUGUAUUGCCAGCGGGUUAUGCCGGGGACUUGCAGGAGACUGCCGGGGUCAACUCGGAGGAAGGUGGGGAUGACGUCAAGUCAUCAUGCCCCUUAUGUCCAGGGCUUCACACAUGCUACAAUGGCUGGUACAGAGGGCUGCGAUACCGUGAGGUGGAGCGAAUCCCUUAAAGCCAGUCUCAGUUCGGAUUGGGGUCUGCAACUCGACCCCAUGAAGUCGGAGUCGCUAGUAAUCGCAGAUCAGCAACGCUGCGGUGAAUACGUUCCCGGGCCUUGUACACACCGCCCGUCACGUCAUGAAAGUCGGUAACACCCGAAGCCGGUGGCCUAACCCC
rnacentral:rRNA from 1 species